CACGCAGCCCUGUUGCGCUUCCGGCGCCUGCUGGUGGCUGAGCUGCAGCGUGGCUUCUUUGACAAGCACAUCUGGCUCUCCAUAUGGGACCGGCCACCUCGUAGCUGUUUCACUCGCAUCCAGAGGGCCACCUGCUGCGUUCUCCUCAUCUGCCUCUUCCUGGGCGCCAACGCCGUGUGGUACGGGGCUGUUGGUGACUCUGCCUACAGCACGGGGCAUGUGUCCAGGCUGAGCCCGCUGAGCGUCGACACAGUCGCUGUUGGCCUGGUGUCCAGCGUGGUUGUCUAUCCCGUCUACCUGGCCAUCCUCUUUCUCUUCCGGAUGUCCCGGAGCAAGGUGGCUGGGAGCCUGAGCCCCACACCUGCCGGGCAGUAGGUGCUGGACAUCGACAGCUGCCUGGACUCGUCCGUGCUGGACAGCUCCUUCCUCACGUUCUCAGGCCUCCACGCUGAGGUUAUCAAUACUCUGGCUGACCAUCGUCAUCGUGGGACUGACUUUGGUGGAAGUCCUUGGUUACUUAUCAUUACUGUGUUUCUGAGAAGUUAUAAAUUUGCCAUCUCCCUCUGCACAAGUUAC
rnacentral:lncRNA from 1 species